rnacentral:tRNA from 1 species
GCGCCUGUAGCUCAUUUGGAUAGAGCGGGGCUCUCCUAAGGCCCGUCUUGGGGUGGUUCGAAUCCACCCAGGCGCA